CUACGGGUGGCAGCAGUGAGGAAUAUUGCACAAUGGGGGGAACCCUGAUGCAGCAACGCCGCGUGGAGGAUGACGCAUUUCGGUGUGUAAACUCCUUUUAUAUGUCAAGAAAAUGACGGUAGCAUAUGAAUAAGCACCGGCUAACUCCGUGCCAGCAGCCGCGGUAAUACGGAGGGUGCAAGCGUUACUCGGAAUCACUGGGCGUAAAGGACGCGUAGGCGGGCUUGUAAGUCAGGUGUGAAAUCCAACAGCUUAACUGUAGAACUGCACUUGAAACUACGAGCCUAGAGUAUGGGAGGGGCAGAUGGAAUUAGUGGUGUAGGGGUAAAAUCCGUAGAUAUCACUAGGAAUACCUAAAGCGAAGGCGAUCUGCUGGAACAUAACUGACGCUAAGGCGUGAAAGCGUGGGGAGCAAACAGGAUUAGAUACCCUUGUAGUC
rnacentral:rRNA from 1 species